rnacentral:rRNA from 1 species
UGCGUAGGCGGGUUUCUAAGUCAGAGGUGAAAGCCUGGAGCUCAACUCCAGAACUGCCUUUGAUACUGGAAGUCUUGAGUAUGGUAGAGGUGAGUGGAACUGCGAGUGUAGAGGUGAAAUUCGUAGAUAUUCGCAAGAACACCAGUGGCGAAGGCGGCUCACUGGGCCAUUACUGACGCUGAGGCACGAAAGCUGGGGAGCAAACA